rnacentral:misc_RNA from 1 species
GUAUAACCCUCCUCCGUUCUUGCGGCGUGCCUCGUUGUGCAUGCGUCGUUCUCCUACACAACGAGGUACACAGGCGUACACAAGCGCCGGCAAUAUACGUACAUACGUUUACACAGACAUGCAUGCGCGCGUCUCUCACACUCCGGUUCUGUAGAUUUUUGUCUCUCGCUCGUUUCUCGGCCUGUGGAGCUCCGUGUUUUGCCACCCUUUCACGUGUCUCGCUCCUGGUUGUGUUGCUUGUGAGCCUUCCAUCGUACGUGCGACUUGCUCCUGCGCUCGUGUGGUGGUGUUCGCUCACGUCCUGGCGUACGGUGGCAGAGCGGGGGCCCCUGCUUGGCGUUGUGCCCUCUUUUGUGCUGCUUUGCUGUGCUGUGCGGCACCUCUCGUCGGCUGCUGUGGGUCUUGGUCUCCCUCUCUGUCUCUCCCCUCGCACGCGUCCGACAGGGCUGCAUGGGAAAGCGGGAGGAUAAGACGCACUAUCCACGUCUCGCUCUCUCACGGCUCCUCCUUCGUGCUUCUGAGGCCGAGAGGCAAGCGUGAAUACAUCAAGGGCGAGCAGGCGAACCAUGGAGGAUGACUACUACUAUGAUGAUGACGGGGACUACGGCGAUUACUACGACAACGGCACCGACGAGGUGGUCGACGUGAGCCCGUUAGAGCUCAAGUACGUGGAUGGUAAGAGCUUCAUGCAGAGCAACGUGGAGGAGAGUCUGCGGUGCUUGCAGGAGGUCGUGGCUGAGGACAGCGAGCACGGCAGAUGGACUUUCAAGGCACUGAAGAUGCUCGCGCGCGCCUGUCGUAUCGCGAAGCUGUACGACGCUAUGGCGGACUACUACACGCAGGUCGUGCAUUUUAUUCACCCCGACAUUGGCGCUGCUGCGGUUGCGAAGGCGAUGCUCAAGUUCACCGAAGAGAGCCUGCGAGUGCCAGCGGAGUGGCGAGGGCGCACCCUGCGCGCUACACUGGAGGUGGCCACUGCGCAACCAGAGUCCUAUCGGAACGUCAUUGUGCCCACCCUCCUGCACCGUGCCACCCUCUUUCUUGAAGAAGACAAAUGCGAGGAGUCUCUCGUAGACUUGCAGGCGGCACUGCAGCAGUGCGAUGAAUCUAUCGUCACCAUGGCGCAGAUCAACGCCAACUGUGUGUACCACAUUCGUACCCUUCAACUCACUGCGUAUCGCAAGCUCAACCGCUACGCAGAGCUGCGACGUGCCUACUACGAAUUAGGCAGGGUGCAUGCAGCGUUGCCGUCGCUACGCAUGAUUGGCAGCGCCAUGGAGUCGGCUGGGCACUUGUUCCUGCACGACGCUGACUGGGCGGCAGCUCACCGUGCAUUCUCUUCGGCUCUGCGUUGCCACACAGAGAGCGGUGAUGCGCAGCAGUACAACGUGGUGAAGUACGUAGUGCUCGCCACCAUUAUGGCUGGGCUGCCGGUGGACGUGUUUGCGCAGGAGGAGACGCUGGCGAAUCACCCGUCUGUUCGCCCAGUACGUGCCCUCUGGCAAGCCUUUGUCGCAUUGGACGUGUCGACUUUUCUGCAGGUGUUGCACGCUCCCGAUAACGCGGCGUGCUUCGCGAAGGACGCGGAGUUCGCAGCGUACGUGGAGCCGAUGAUGUUCCAGCUGCGCACCAACUACCUCAUCGCUUACUCCAAGAGCUUUGGCACGCUGUCACUUCUGGAGCUCGGUGCUCGGCUGCAGCUGCAGGAGCAACCGUGCAAGGAGCUGUGCACGAGCGCCAUUCUCCUGGGUCUCAUCAACGCUCGCAUCGACGAUGCGCGGAAACUGCUGCUGUUUCAGCGUGCAUCGCGCGCCGUGCCUAGCAGCGUGGCUGUGUUGCGCGACUUGUCCGACUUGACGAGCGAACUCUGCUGCAAGUAGGCGUAGUUGCGGCUGUGAGUGGCGGGUGCGUUAGCGGGCCCUCUCUUCCUCUGUUUUCAUCCGCGCUGCGGCUGAACAUGACUCAGGCGUCGCAUAGGGGGGGCCCGCUGCUCUCCAUCUUUCUCCUUCCCUUCCCGCCCCGCCACGAUGGCGCCACCACUUUUCGCGGUUUGAAAACUGUUGUCCUUUCGCUGUUUCGUGUGGUGGCUACUUGUGACACACCUGCCGCUGAGAUCAGAGGAACAGACGGAUAUC